GCUUACGGCCACACCACCCUGAGCGCGCCCGAUCUCGUCUGAUCUCGGAAGCUAAGCAGGGUCGGGCCUGGUUAGUACUUGGAUGGAGACCGCCUGGGAAUACCAGGUGCCGUAAGCU
ensembl:rRNA 5S_rRNA 5S ribosomal RNA